CCUGCGGGACGGGGACGGAGACGGGCACCGAGGGCAAGGGCGGCCGGCGGCGCCCCUUUGUCCGGGACGCCUGGACCCCGCGCUCGGCUGCGUUUCGAGCCGGUGGUCCCGGUGCUGUGGCACCAGCCAGAGCCGCUGCAGAAACCUGGGAAGCCCCCUUGCCUCUUCCCUGCCACUUUCGUGCGGGACUUCCAUGGUUCUCCGAGCUCCUCCGCCCUCCGCUCCUCCCCCAAGGGUUUGGGUUGUUGUCUUCCGACCCACAGGGCUCUGGGGAGCCGGGGGCACCUGACUGGCCCCAAGAGUCCUCCGUGGACCGUUGCCCAUGGCCGGUUUGGGGCUGUACAGACACAACUCGUCUUCAGGGGAGGGACCUCUUGGCUUCCCCCGAGCUUCCUCAGGUUCUCUUUCCCCCAAGGUACUCACCUUCUCACAUCCCUCAAUUCCCAUCUAGUAACUUUUCUGCCCGCGGUUUCUGAAUGCGAAGGAGACCGGAAGGAAAGUUCUGGGUUCUUCUUUUCUGGGCCUGCUCAGUCUCUGUGGAAUCAUCCCUCAGCCCAUCCUUGGGCAGUGCACUGGCUGUAGACUAGAACCGACAGCUGAGUUAGUGUUGAGUCUCGAACCUGGGAAAACUGUACGUUCCGCCGUUGUUGACGUUUCCUUUGAAAAGACCUUUGUAAUACUAAGGAAGACAAGGAAGAGCCCUGUCCAGGGCUUUCUUAGCAUCAGGCUCUGUCAGUUUUCUUUCCCACCGCCCCCCCCCCUUUUUUUUCAAAUUGUGUUUUAGUUUUGUGUCAGUUUUUGAGUCAUUCUGAGGAACCUGGAUUGCCUAAGUGAGUUUCAAGAGUUCUAUUUUGUUGAUUUGUUUUUAGUAAACUAGGUCCAAACUAUAGUGUCCCUGAAAUUGGGGUGGGGGGGGAGAGUAAAAAUAGAUAGUGGGGGGAAAAGGUUAGAGACUUUAUUUGCUAGAAGUGCAUCUUCACUGUGUUGGAAGAACUUUUUAAAAAAGAAUCUUGCGGUGUCCUGUUUGAUAAACUGUACACAAAGUCCUGCUAACUUUGUAGGUCGAUGCCUGUGGAUACAGACGGGCAAACGCACACAAGACAGAAGUCACUUGGACAGUGUUUACCCAAAUCUGCUGAGUGUGCUGAGUGAUGACUCAGCGUUUUGUAAUGCAUUCAUCAUCUUUCCAUUUUGUCACAUGGGAUGGCCCUUACCUGCCAGUUAUUAGGGGCUCUCUGACAAAUUUGUUGCCUUUUAGGGGAGGACUGGGAGUAAUUAACCUUUUUAAAUAAAAAGAAGCAAAACUGAAGCACUUAAUUUGUCCUCUACAAAAGGUGACCAUAAGAUGUCGAGGUUAACAACCCUCCUCUUUAACUUAGAGUGUAAAAAAGUUUGUGGCGUUAGGAUCCGGAGGAAACUUGGAAAGAAAGGACUCCAGCAGGCAGAGAACUGCUUUUCGUCAAAAGGGGAAGAUGAGUAAAUGAUUAAAAUCAAAUGAUGGUUUUCAUGUGAGCUCCCUAGCUGUUUGGUCCUCAGGCACAGUAAAAAUAGGCAGUUGCAGUAAACGCCCGUUUUCAUCACUUGCGUUAGGUCUGCCAGAGAGUACAGUUUUUGUGGACACAAACAGCUCGUUUCAGAUUUGUGUGUAUAAAUAGGCCAAUGUGUGAAGCAUAUCUGGCUUGGAUUUUUGAACCUAGAACCUACAAAGGCUCUGCACAGUAAGGCAUUGUUGUCUGAAAUCUUUAUUGUUACCGGGUUUGGUAAAUUAGCACCUACAGUUUUGUUGUUGUUGGCCUUAUUUGAUAAGAGGAGCUUUUACUAGAAAGGGCUACAGUGGAACACCCCUGUGUGUUUAGGGCAGGAUUGCAGUUAGAUGGCUUAAUGGUGAUGAGUCCUUUAGUCAUGUGUGUCUAAAUAACCAGCAGGAAAUGCCAUCAGGUAGAGCUUUAUUUUGGAGCAGUGGUGAAAUGCUGCAAGCUGGUUCCUGGGAUUGCAGUAUGUGACAUUUUGGAGCAAGUUGUGAUCUUGGUUGUGUGUUUUUCUCGUAAGUCAUAUGUUAAGGUGACCUGUUUACAGACGUGCUUGCUGUGCUUUAAGACCUGCGUGCUGCAUAAGUGUGUAUCUAACGAUGCCAAAACGUGUGACCAUAGGUAUCAUAUUUAGGACUUUAUAGAAAGAUGGAAACAUAGUGACGUAAAUAAAAUCUGGUUUCUGCCACUCGCUCCUCCACUGCGGGGAAGCUCCUUAAGCCUGUAUUACAGUUUCUUAUAAGUGUAACGAGGGGGUUGGACUAAAUAAUUCCUGAGAACCCUUCCUGCCCGAGUGUUCUGUGAUUUUAUUUUUAUAUCCUGUAAAGCCUCAGGUAAUCCAGAGUGUAUUUUUCUACAAGGACUGUUUGAACAGUUUGUAAAGUACUGGAAAUACUUGCAUAGAUCAAGAACUUUCCUAAAGAAGACCAGGGUGUAAAUGCUGCUUACAGGCCCUGGAAUUGGAUCCACAGCCGGAGACGUGCCCCUUAAGCUGGGUGUCACGGGUCUGGGUGGAGCUGAGUUUUGAGUUGGGAGACACUCUUAGUCUGCAUUGGCCCUCCCUCCGCCUCUUUUGACUUUUCACCUCGUUUCGGUAGUUAACAUAAUUGUUUCAAUCCAUCUUGAGAUGUGAAGUCUGUCUAUCAUCUCUGUUAAGAAAGGUUAUUUCUGUGUGUUAUAAAAAUUGGCCCUGUAAUGUAAUACAAGCUGUUUUGCAAGCCAGUUUAAAGGAUUAAAACUGCCUGUUCAAGAGCGAUUUUGUGAUGUAGUAUGUCACAGGGCCAGUCUUCAAGAAGGGAGGAAAUAAAUGAGAGAAGGGAGGCGUAAAUUAGUGGUUUUCGGAAAAGGGCAGUGGAAACAGCUCUUGGGUACCUUCAGUGAAAGGUGUCAGUAGAUAGCUUGUAUGGCCCGAGUAAGAAUGAAGGGAACUCAGCUUUUCUCCUCCUGCCUUUCCGGACUUUUCACAAGAGGCAGUGAAAUCUAGCCUGAAGACCUCAGUCAUCUACCUGGCUUUUUGCCGAUAACCUCAUCCGCUUGUAAUGCUUACCGUCGGCCUCUCGUAGCUUUAGGUUCUUCAUUUGGAUGGAGGAUGUUAGACUUAGUUUUUCGACCUUUUAAAUUUUAGCAUCGGACUGCUUAUAAAAACAAAAUGUUAAACAAAAAAGUGGGCUUCUCGGGCAGAUGAAAACUGCAUUGAUUUUUUUUUUUUUAUUAAUAUUUUGUUGAUAAGAGAAGCCUGCUCCAGGCAUCAGAGCAGCAAACUGUUUAAAAAGUUCCUGGGCUUAAAUGGCCCCGAGGGCCUUUCUGGCUCGGUGUCCCUUUAAACUGGCCUGGAGGAAGUGAGGAAAGGGGAGGGAGAAGGAGUGAAUGGGCGACUGUUUCCUAGAAGCUUACCCCACCCGCGCUCGCUUCUCUUUUCCGUUCUUUCUUAAACAGAAUUUUGAUUUUUGUAAAUGUGUGUGUGGAUUUGGUGUCAUAUGAAGCAAAUUUAAAUCCUGGUUUUGUUACAGUAAAAUGUACUUGAUGCCGCUUUGCAGUGACCUGACUAUGUUAUACUGAAGAAUCAUCUCCUUAGCUAACUAAACUGUUGAUCCCUUAUAGAAGGAAACCUCAGUUGUCUGUUACUGAGAACAUCAUGUACCCUUCCUGGCAGAAGUUGGAUUACCCCAGCUGAAACCACGUGAUGUAUUUGAUUAGAUUAUACAACCACCAGAAAUGAAAGUUUAGUCAAGGUGGUUGUUAGCUGCUGUCUAGUUGGCCCCCAACUUAUAGUGACCAAAUUGACAAAUUAUCACAUUCAUCAGUGAUAACCAGGUAGGAGAAGUGGUAGAUGAAGAUGUUCAGAAGUGACCGCACUUAAAAUGGGAACCAAAAUGUCUUUGUAGUGGGCAAGUUGAUUUUCCAUGGGGGGAGGGAACACAUAAGCAGUUUUGGGGGACAUGGAUGUUUCUGACAAAGUUUUAUAACAUCACAGUAAAGUAUCCUUUAUUGUUUAUUUAUUUGGUAGGACUGUCAUACUUAUGGAGCCCUCGUUGCGCAGUGGUCGUCAGUUCAAGUCCAUCAGCCACUCCUUGGAAACCCUGUAGGGCAGUUCUGCUCUGUCCUGUGGGUCCUCUAUGAGUUGGAAUUGACUCGACAGCAAUGAGUUUGGUCGUACUUAUGUAGCAUUUUCAAAAUAUUUGAGGCCUCUAUCAGUUAACCACUUCUGAACACCAUGUUAGUUUUCAUGAGUUAACUGAGAGCUUCUGCCACAAUCUCAUUUGUCAACGGAUAUAUCUGAUUUUGAUUUGUACAAUUUUUAAAUAUUUAUGGAAACAUUUGUUUGCUUUAAACCUUUGUUAUAGAAAAUAUCAAACAUAUACAAAAGAAGACAUAGUAAUGAACCCUACCCCUGUGUACCCAUCACCCAUCUUCAACAGUUACAAAUUCAUGACCAGUCAUGUUCUUCCAUCAUCUCCCUUCAUUAUUGUGAAGCGUAUUACUUCAUUCGUCAGUGUUUCCACUGUGUGUCUCUAAGAGAAAGGGCUUAAAAAAAAAAAAAACCCACA